rnacentral:rRNA from 1 species
UACGGAGGGUGCAAGCGUUAUCCGGAAUCACUGGGUUUAAAGGGUGCGUAGGCUGCUACAUAAGUCAGGGGUGAAAGUUUGUCGCUUAACGAUAGAAUUGCCCUUGAUACUGUGCGGCUUGAAAUUAGGUGAGGUUGGCGGAAUGUGACAUGUAGCGGUGAAAUGCGUAGAUAUGUCAUAGAACACCGAUUGCGAAGGCAGCUGGCUAACCUAAAUUUGACGCUGAGGCACGAAAGCGUGUGUAGCAAACAGG